rnacentral:rRNA from 1 species
UGCAUGUGUAAGUAUAAAUAAUUCUACUUUGAAACUGCGAAUGGCUCAUUAUAUCAGUUAUAGUUUAUUAGAAAUAAUUUACUACUUGGAUAACCGUAGUAAUUCUAGGGCUAAUACAUGAGUAAAUCCUCGACUUUGAAGAGGUGUGUUUAUUAGUAUGAAAACCAUAUGCUUUUGCAUAAUAGUGAGUAAUAAUAACCUUUCAUAUCGUAUGUUGUAAUAACGAUAGUUCUUUCAAGUUUCUGCCCUAUCAGCUUUCGAUGGUAGUGCAUUGGACUACCAUGGCAGUAACGGGUAACGAAGAAUUUGGGUUCGAUUUCGGAGAGGGAGCCUGAGAGAUGGCUACCACAUCCAAGGAAGGCAGCAGGCGCGUAAAUUACCCAAUCCUGACAUAGGGAGGUAGUGACAAUAAAUCACAAUGCGGGACUUUUAGUUUUGCAAUUGGAUUGAGAACAAUGUAAAAGAGUUAUCGAUAAACAAUUGGAGGGCAAGUCUGGUGCCAGCAGCCGCGGUAAUUCCAGCUCCAAUAGCGUAUAUUAACGUUGUUGCAGUUAAAAA